rnacentral:misc_RNA from 1 species
GAUGAAGAACGUAGCGAAAUGCGAUACUUGGUGUGAAUUGCAGAAUCCCGUGAACCAUCGAGUCUUUGAACGCAAGUUGCGCCCGAAGCCAUUAGGCCGAGGGCACGCCUGCCUGGGCGUCACACGUCGUUGCCCCCCCAUCUACUCCUUCGGGAUUGCGGGGGGCGGAUGAUGGCCUCCCGUGCGCCUCGCCGCGCGGUUGGCAUAAAUGCCAAGUCCUCGGCGACGCACGCCACGACAAUCGGUGGUUGCGAAACCUCGGUUGCCCGUCGUGUGCGGUCGUCGCGCAUCGAGGGCUCGAAAAAAUUGCCGGGUUCCGGCUCGGCUUUCAACGCGACCCCAGGUCAGGCGGGGUUACCCGCUGAAUUUAAGCAUAUCAAUAAGCGGGGA